GAUGAAGAACGCAGCGAAAUGCGAUAAGUAAUGUGAAUUGCAGAAUUCAGUGAAUCAUCGAAUCUUUGAACGCACAUUGCGCCCGCCAGUAUUCUGGCGGGCAUGCCUGUUCGAGCGUCAUUACAACCCUCAGGCCCCCGGGCCUGGCGUUGGGGAUCGGCGGAGCCCCCCGUGGGCACACGCGGUCCCCCAAAUGCAGUGGCGGUCCCGCCGCAGCUUCCAUCGCGUAGUAGCUAACACCUCGCGACUGGAGAGCGGCGCGGCCACGCCGUAAAACACCCAACUCUUCUGAAGUUGACCUCGAAUCAGGUAGGAAUACCCGCUGAACUUAAGCAUAUCAAUAAGCGGAGGA
rnacentral:misc_RNA from 1 species